rnacentral:rRNA from 1 species
GAAGGUUGGACAAUGGGGGCAACCCUGAUCCAGCCAUCCCGCGUGUGCGAUGAAGGCCUUCGGGUUGUAAGGCACUUUUGGCAGGGAAGAAAAGGCUCUGGCUAAUACCUGGAGCUGCUGACGGUACCUGCAGAAUAAGCACCGGCUAACUACGUGCCAGCAGCCGCGGUAAUACGUAGGGUGCAAGCGUUCAUCGGAAUUACUGGGCGUAAAGCGUGCUCCGGCGGUUCGGCAAGAAGGCUGUGAAAUCCCAGGGCUUAACCUUUGAACUGCAUUCUUAACUGCCGGGCUAGAGUAUGUCAGAGGGGGGUAGAAUUCUGCGUGUAGCAGUGAAAUGCGUAGAGAUGCGGAGGAAUACCGAUGGCGAAGGCAGCCCCCUGGGAUAAUACUGACGCUCAUGCACGAAAGCGUGGGGAGCAAAC